GUUCCCCUUAAGUCUCUUCAUGAUUUCCACACCCCCUACAGACUUAAGAGAUAUUCAAAUAAGGCACAGCUUAUUUGAAACAGGAUACAACCUAGACACUAGGGUAAACCAUUAAAAUCUAACUAAGUUGGCCUAAAAGCAGCCACCUUUAAAAAAGCGUUAAAGCUUUAUUUUUACUACAAAAAAUCUGUCUAAUAAUUAUGAACCCAUCAUUACUAUUGAAUAAUUUCAUAAAUUAUGAAAGUUACCAUGCUAGAACUAGUAACAAGAAAAUGCAUUUCUCCAAAUUGUAAGCUUAAACCAAAAUGGACCUCCCACUGGUACUCAACGAUAAUGAUACUAAUAUUUUAACCACUCAAGAAAACUGAAUAAUUAAUAUCGUUAACCUUACACUAGAACACUUCUGGAAAGAUUAAAAGGAAAAGAAGGAACUCGGCAAUAUUUAGUCCCGCCUGUUUACCAAAAACAUCGCCUCUUGCACACUAUAAGAGGUCCCGCCUGCCCAGUGAUUAAUUUAACGGCCGCGUGAUUUUAAGCGCGCAAAGGUAGCAAAAUCAUUUGUUCUUUAAAUGAGGACCAGUAUCAAUGGCAUCACGAGGACUUCACUGUCUCCUUUUCCUAAUCAGUGAAACUAAUCUCCCUGUGAAAAAGCAGGGAUAAUGCUAUAAGACGAGAAGACCCCAUGGAGCUUUAAACUUUUUUAACAACUUCCAGUAAAUUUAUUACCCCUUAAUACUUAAGUUAUGCUUAAUAGUUUUAGGUUGGGGCGACCGCGGAGUAAAAUUUAACCUCCACGACAAAAGGAGAUUUCCUAAUCUAAGAAAGACAUUUCUAAGAAUCACUAACCUGAUGUUUCAUGACCCGACUAUCGAUCAACGAACCAAGUUACCCUGGGGAUAACAGCGCAAUCCAUUUAGAAAGUUCCUAUCGACAAAUGGGUUUACGACCUCGAUGUUGGAUCAGGAUACCCAAGUGGUGCAGCCGCUACUAAAGGUUUGUUUGUUCAACAAUUAAAAUCCU
rnacentral:rRNA from 1 species